AUGUUCGCAGCGAAAAGGAGGUCAAACAUGAUAUUUUCAAUAAGCCUCCUGUCUCCUAAUUCUGCACGACCUUCAUCUCUGUCGUGCCCUUGCGGCAAAGCUCAUCGGGCUCAAUGCACUUCUUCGGACAUUGUGGUGUUGAUGACCUUGAGGAGAUGGCGUAUGACCCCUUCUUCCUUGGUUACAUUCACUUGGCCAAGGACUCGGCCGUUGGCCUUUCCACAAUUUGAUGAAGGGUGUCGUCCUCCAAAUGGAUCUCAUGCAUCAGGAUUUGGGAUUGGAACCGGUGUUCACAUCAGGUGA
rnacentral:rRNA from 1 species